rnacentral:rRNA from 1 species
CCUACGGGGAGCAGCAGUGGGGAAUAUUGGACAAUGGGCGAAAGCCUGAUCCAGCCAUGCCGCGUGUGUGAAGAAGGCCUUCGGGUUGUAAAGCACUUUCAGUGGGGAAGAAAGCCUUGGGGCUAAUACCCUCGAGGAAGGACAUCACCCACAGAAGAAGCACCGGCUAACUCCGUGCCAGCAGCCGCGGUAAUACGGAGGGUGCGAGCGUUAAUCGGAAUUACUGGGCGUAAAGCGCGCGUAGGCGGUCUGAUAAGCCGGUUGUGAAUGCCCCGGGCUCAACCUGGGAACGGCAUCCGGAACUGUCAGGCUAGAGUGCAGGAGAGGAAGGUAGAAUUCCCGGUGUAGCGGUGAAAUGCGUAGAGAUCGGGAGGAAUACCAGUGGCGAAGGCGGCCUUCUGGACUGACACUGACGCUGAGGUGCGAAAGCGUGGGUAGCAAACAGGAUUAGAUACCCUUGUAGUC